UGCGUAGGCGGCUCUAUAAGUAUGGUGUGAAAUCUCCCGGCUUAACUGGGAGGGUGCGCUAUAGACUGUGGGGCUAGAGGGUGGGAGAGGAAAGUGGAAUUCCUGGUGUAGCGGUGAAAUGCGUAGAUAUCAGGAGGAACACCGGCGGUGUAAACGGCUUUCUGGACCAUUUCUGACGCUGAGGCACGAAAGCGUGGGUAGCAAACAGGAUUAGAUACCCUGGUAGUCCACGCCCUAAACGAUGCAUAUUUGGUGUGGGCCAUUCAUUUGGUCUGUGCCGGAGCUAACGCGUUAAAUAUGCCGCCUGGGGAGUACAGUCGCAAGGCUGAA
rnacentral:rRNA from 1 species